CAUGUGAAACAAGCGCUUUUCUAUGUCUCAGUUAGCUGAAAUGGCUGACGAUGCUGAACGGAAGGCUUACCUGGAGGAACAGUACAAGGAUUCGGUCGGGUCAGCUCUUAGCAAGAUUGUGGUAACCGGGUUUAAAUGCCUUGGUCUGCAGUACUUCUUCACUGCAGGCGCGGACGAGGUCAAAGCGUGGACGAUCAAAACCGGCUUUCUCGCCCCUCAAGCUGCUGGGAGGAUCCACACCGAUUUUGAGAAAGGCUUCAUUAUGGCAGAGGUUAUGAAAUUCUCUGAUUUUAAAGAGCUUGGCUCGGAGUCUGCAGUUAAAUCAGCCGGUAAGUAUCGCCAACAAGGAAGAAAUUACAUUGUAGAAGAUGGGGACAUCAUCUUUUUCAAGUUUAACACGCCCUCGCAGCCAAAGAAAAAAUGACGUGCCAACCAUGAAAAGUUCCAACUGUUGUGGCCUUAUACUCUGUCUGUAAUCACAGCAUAUUAAGGCAACUAUCAGUUUUACUUCAUUUUAUGAGGUCUCCAGGUUUCGGUCGUCGCUUUCUUUCGUGAAUUGGUGAUGUAGUUUGCUCUUUUAAAUGAUAAUGCAUGUUGUUGCUGCUAGAAGCGGUUUAAACCGGUCUGCACUCUCUGGGUUAAAAAUAAUAAAUUACAAUUGAGUUUGUGCUGGUA